GACGAACGCUGGCGGCGUGCUUAACACAUGCAAGUCGAACGGAAAGGCCCUGCUUUUGUGGGGUGCUCGAGUGGCGAACGGGUGAGUAACACGUGAGUAACCUGCCCUUGACUUUGGGAUAACUUCAGGAAACUGGGGCUAAUACCGGAUAGGAGCUCCUGCUGCAUGGUGGGGGUUGGAAAGUUUCGGCGGUUGGGGAUGGACUCGCGGCUUAUCAGCUUGUUGGUGGGGUAGUGGCUUACCAAGGCUUUGACGGGUAGCCGGCCUGAGAGGGUGACCGGCCACAUUGGGACUGAGAUACGGCUCAGACUCCUACGGGAGGCAGCAGUGGGGAAUAUUGCACAAUGGGCGGAAGCCUGAUGCAGCAACGCCGCGUGCGGGAUGACGGCCUUCGGGUUGUAAACCGCUUUCGCCUGUGACGAAGCGUGAGUGACGGUAAUGGGUAAAGAAGCACCGGCUAACUACGUGCCAGCAGCCGCGGUGAUACGUAGGGUGCGAGCGUUGUCCGGAUUUAUUGGGCGUAAAGGGCUCGUAGGUGGUUGAUCGCGUCGGAGGUGUAAUCUUGGGGCUUAACCCUGAGCGUGCUUUCGAUGCGGGUUGACUUGAGGAAGGUAGGGGAGAAUGGAAUUCCUGGUGGAGCGGUGGAAUGCGCAGAUAUCAGGAGGAACACCAGUGGCGAAGGCGGUUCUCUGGGCCUCUCCUGACGCUGAGGAGCGAAAGCGUGGGGAGCGAACAGGCUUAGAUACCCUGGUAGUCCACGCUGUAAACGGUGGGUACUAGGUGUGGGGUCCAUUCCACGGGUUCCGUGCCGUAGCUAACGCUUUAAGUACCCCGCCUGGGGAGUACGGCCGCAAGGCUAAAACUCAAAGGAAUUGACGGGGCCCCGCACAAGCGGCGGAGCAUGCGGAUUAAUUCGAUGCAACGCGUAGAACCUUACCUGGGUUUGACAUGGAUCGGGAGUGCUCAGAGAUGGGUGUGCCUCUUUUGGGGUCGGUUCACAGGUGGUGCAUGGCUGUCGUCAGCUCGUGUCGUGAGAUGUUGGGUUAAGUCCCGCAACGAGCGCAACCCUUGUUCACUGUUGCCAGCACGUUAUGGUGGGGACUCAGUGGAGACCGCCGGGGUCAACUCGGAGGAAGGUGGGGAUGACGUCAAGUCAUCAUGCCCCUUAUGUCCAGGGCUUCACGCAUGCUACAAUGGCUGGUACAGAGAGUGGCGAGCCUGUGAGGGUGAGCGAAUCUCGGAAAGCCGGUCUCAGUUCGGAUUGGGGUCUGCAACUCGACCUCAUGAAGUCGGAGUCGCUAGUAAUCGCAGAUCAGCAACGCUGCGGUGAAUACGUUCCCGGGGCU
rnacentral:rRNA from 1 species